rnacentral:rRNA from 1 species
AACGUAGGAGACAAACGUUAUCCGGAGUUACUGGGCGUAAAGGGCGUGCAGGUGGUCUGUUAAGUCUGGCGUGAAAGCUCCCGGCUAAACCGGGCGAGGUCGUUGGAUACUGGCGGACUAGAGGACGGUAGAGGCGGGUGGAAUUCCGGGUGUAGUGGUGAAAUGCGUAGAGAUCCGGAGGAACACCAGUGGCGAAGGCGACCCGCUGGGCCGUACCUGACACUGAGACGCGACAGCAUGGGGAGCGAACGGGAUUAGAAACCCCCGUAGUCC